GAGCGGCGGACGGGUGAGUAAUGUCUGGGGAUCUGCCUGAUGGAGGGGGAUAACUACUGGAAACGGUAGCUAAUACCGCAUAACGUCGCAAGACCAAAGUGGGGGACCUUCGGGCCUCACGCCAUCGGAUGAACCCAGAUGGGAUUAGCUAGUAGGUGGGGUAACGGCUCACCUAGGCGACGAUCCCUAGCUGGUCUGAGAGGAUGACCAGCCACACUGGAACUGAGACACGGUCCAGACUCCUACGGGAGGCAGCAGUGGGGAAUAUUGCACAAUGGGGGAAACCCUGAUGCAGCCAUGCCGCGUGUGUGAAGAAGGCCUUCGGGUUGUAAAGCACUUUCAGCGGGGAGGAAGGCGGUAAGGUUAAUAACCUUACCGAUUGACGUUACCCGCAGAAGAAGCACCGG
rnacentral:rRNA from 1 species